GAUUAGCAAAAAGCAAAAACGGAUUUCUCUUAUCCGCCUGUAACUCUCCUCCCCUUUCCCUUUCUCUGGAACUCAAAUCCUCCCUGAGGAAGAUAAAUCCUAACUGGUGUAUAACAGACAUCAACCUACCGCUUCGCCUGGCGGAUUUGAGGCCGGCGGCACGGCUGCUGCUUCUCUGGAUCGCGGUCGAUCAGGGCAUCUCGUGGGUGCCGAGGGAGUGCUGCUGCCGGAUUCGAUAUCGCCACCAUCCCUAUUGCCACCGAUGAGAUCCAUUUUGUAUCGGCAUUCUUCUUACGCCCUAAUGCCUCCGCCUCUUGCUGUGGCAUCUUUGGUGGCCUCUCCUGUGCGUGCACGUGCCUCGGCGCCGGUCUUUCCCACGUCUUUUGCGGUUGACUGUGCUUCGAUUUCGUCCCUCAGUCUCACGAAUAGCUCCCUGCUGCUGGUCCAUAUGAUGUUGAUGUUGAUGCUCGGGAAGCUGCUGGUUCAUCCGUUCAUGUUGAUGUUGAUGCUCGGAGGCGUGCGAUUUUGUUGGCCAAAUGGCCUAUUGAUUCUACGGAUGGCUAGCUGACUACUCUGUUUUCUGUUUUAUGGCGCUUUAACCGUUUCAUAGGCUGUAUGGACUGCCAGCUAUCUACUUCAUGUUCUGCUAUAUGUUAUCUGUCUGUUAUGGUGUGCCUCUUGGUAUUACCAAUAGGUAUAUAUAUGUACUACUAAUGCCACUAUGUAUGAAUAAUCAGAUGUUUGUGUGCAUCUGGGAGGUUGGUCUGAGGGUAAAGCAGAAAUAUUUGUGUGCA